UACGUAGGGUGCAAGCGUUUAAUCGGAAUUACUGGGCGUAAAGCGUGCGCAGGCGGUUUUGUAAGUCUGACGUGAAAUCCCCGGGCUUAACCUGGGAAUUGCGUUGGAGACUGCAAGGCUAGAAUCUGGCAGAGGGGGGUAGAAUUCCACGUGUAGCAGUGAAAUGCGUAGAGAUGUGGAGGAACACCGAUGGCGAAGGCAGCCCCCUGGGUCAAGAUUGACGCUCAUGCACGAAAGCGUGGGGAGCAAACAGG
rnacentral:rRNA from 1 species